CCCACCAGAAAACUCUCCAGGAUCAGCAAGAUGAGACUGUGGCUGAGCCUCGCUUUUCUUCUAGCCGUCCUUCCAGGUGUCCGGUCCCAGGUCCAGCUCGUGGAGUGCGGAGGGAAGAUUCAAACCCCUGAGGGAUCUCUCCGUCUCGCCUGCAAAGCGUCCGGAUUCACCUUCAGCAGCUACUUCAUAGACUGGGUCCGUCAGGCUCAGGGGAAAGGGCUGGAGUGGGUCGCAGAGAUACGCAAUCCUGCUUAUAGCUCAGCAGCAUAUUACAGUGAUGCGGUUAAAGGGCGAUUCACCAUUUCCAGAGAUGAGUCCAGCAGCUCGGUGUAUCUGCAAAUGAACAGUUUGAAAGCCGAAGACACCGCCCGGUAUUACUGUGCGAGAAGAGACACAGUGAUCAGAAACCUCCUGCGGUUAGCACAAAAACCUCCAGAGCCCACAUAG